rnacentral:misc_RNA from 1 species
CAAAGAUGAAGCCACUACCUAGCUUUUAAGAAAUUUGUUUUUUUCCUUCAUUAUCUUUGCUUUUUAUUUCAUAACAGAGCUAUCCAAAGAAAAGGAGCUUCAACAAAGGCACAUUUUUUGCGGAGGGGGAAGGGUUGUGAUUAACAAGGAGAAACAGAGAGGAUUGCACUGAAGCGGAGUCCUGAGAAUUUCGCCCAUGUUAUCCACAGGAAAAGGAUUAAUGGUUUGAUUGAUUGUUAAGUGUCUUUAUCUCCAUUUAAGCGAGGGGGAGAAGAGAAACCAG